UGUAUAUUCCCCAAAAUGAUUAUCACAUGUAAAAAAAGAGAAAAGAGAAAAGUUUACAUAAUUCAUAUAAAACAAGUAAACAUACUGUAAAGUCAAUAUACUUUUCUCCAAAACAAACUGUUUUGUGAAUUGUGUUGAAUGUUACGUGGGAAGAACAUUUACUACAGAAAAAUGAAAAUAAAUAUGCUGUUAUUAAAAUGAGUGUCACAUAGUUCCAAAUCUCUACUGGAGUCAUUCAGAGCAUUUCCAUAGAGUCACUUUGCAUCAGCAGCUCCAUGCUCCAGCGCUCUGGGAGAGUUUAUAGUCCUGACAGUUGAACACUGAAUGACUGACAGCUGUCCUUCAUCACAACAGAAGACACAGAAAUCCUCCUCAUCAAAAACAUGACUUUGAUCUGUGUCCUCAUCUGGACUCUCCUCUGCUGCUGCUUCACAGAGGUCAGAUGUCAGUACACACUGACUCAGCCUGCAGCAGUGAGAGCUGAUCUGGGAGGAUCUGCUACCAUCAACUGUAGAACCAGUCAGAAUGUUUAUGUAAACAGCAAUGGCCACCAUUUAGCCUGGUACCAACAGAAAGAUGGACAAACUCCUAAGCGGCUCAUUUAUUAUACCAGCACUCGAGCAUCAGGGACUCCAAGUCGUUUCUCAGGCAGUGGAUCAAACUCUGACUUCACUCUGACCAUCAGUGGAGUUCAGGCUGAAGAUGCUGCAGUUUAUCACUGUCAGAGUUACCACAGCGGUGGGGUGUUCACACAGUGAAAAACAGUCAUACAAAAACCUCCCUCAGUCAAACUGAACUGAAACUAUGUUGCUGCAGCUUCCAGCUGCUGCAGAAACUGAUAGUUUACUGAAAUCCUUCACAUGGAUACACACAACUUUUCAUGAAGGUGUUUUAAAAUAAAUGAGUAAAAUGUA